rnacentral:lncRNA from 1 species
AGAGUGAUUGAUCGCUGGUUACGCCGUUUUGGUGACUGCCCACGUCCUAACCUCGCGAUGACGGUGAUGGUCAACACUAAGUCAAUACGCUUCCAAUAACUGGGUCAACAUUGCAGUUUGGGCUCAAGGCCCCAUAGCAAUGAGGGGGAUUGUUUUGCACAAGGAAUCGAAGACCAGCGUGGCUGGAGUGGAGAGAGCCAUGGGCACAUGAUACGGGUGAGAAACUACAUUGUUGGCAUGUUAAGAAAGUUUGUCUUUAACCAGAGCAUUAGGAGUCUCGAAGUAUUAAUUCUGCACGUGUGUGUCUUAGUGAG